UGUCUGCUCCUCUUCUUCGUUUUUGUUUCCUCUCUCUCUCCUCCUCUCUCUCUCUCUCUCUCUCUCUCUCUCCCUUUCUCUUUAUAUUUGGAUUUGAGUGCAACUGUUUGGAUUGCCAGCUUUCUUUGUUCUGUAGUAGAGGUAGAGUUUGGAGGUUUUCCUUUAGGGUUGUAUCAUGGAUGUGUAGAUUCACACCUCAUGUACUAAGAUUUGGGGUCUUUCUCUCUUCAUCUCUUUGGUUCUUUUAUUGUCUUUUAGAUCUAGAGAAGGGGUAGCUUGAAGAUAAUUUGGGCACAGCAAAAUAGAUACAUAUAUAGAGAGAUAGAGAGAGAGAGGGAGAGAGAGAGAGAGAAAGAACAAAGGGGAGAUCAUGGUCGCAUAUUGGGUAGUGAUGACUCGUUUAUGGUUCUGAUUUGGACUCACAUCAGGAUCCUUACAGCCACCACAAAGAACAGCUUUUGCUGAGGAUAAGAAGAAGACCAAGAAGGCGGUGCUGUUGUUCUGCUUUGCUUUAGGAAAUGGCAGCCGCUUCUUCGUCGGUACCGUUCCUUGGAUUCAGAGAGGAAGAUCAGUCCAACACGCAGCAUCCGCAACAGAAACAGCAAUCGUCGAGUUCAUCGGCAGCUGCUGCUCGACCUGCAUCUCCUCAGAAGAAGAAGAGGACCCUCCCCGGAAAUCCAAAUCCUGACGCGGAGGUGAUCAAUUUGUCGCCAAAAUCACUUCUUGCAACCAACAGAUUCAUCUGCGAGGUGUGCAACAAAGGGUUCCAACGCGAGCAGAACCUGCAGCUGCACCGGCGUGGCCACAACCUGCCAUGGAAGCUGAAGCAGAAGAACCCCAAGGACGUCGUCCGCCGCCGCGUGUACACCUGCCCGGAACCCUCGUGCGUCCACCACGACCCCUCGCGCGCCCUCGGCGACCUCACCGGCAUCAAGAAGCACUACUGCCGCAAGCACGGCGAGAAGAAGUGGAAGUGCGACAAGUGCUCCAAGCGCUACGCCGUGCAGUCGGACUGGAAGGCGCACUCCAAGACCUGCGGCACUCGCGAGUACCGCUGCGACUGCGGAACCCUCUUUUCCAGGCGUGAUAGUUUCAUCACCCACAGAGCCUUCUGUGAUGCGUUAGCACAAGAGAGUGCGAGGAUUCCGGCGGCCAUGUCCAUCGGCAGCCAUUUAUACGGCGACAAUGGGAUCAAUUUAGAUCUUCCUCAGGUGAAUUCGCAACUCUCGUCCUUGCAAGAUCAAAUCCGGCUCGGUGGCGGUGCAACCCAAUUCGAUCACCUCACUAUGCCGUCAUUUCGUCCACCUCCGUCUGCCAGCUCGUUCUACCUUGGUGGCGGCUCCGGCCACCAAGACUUCAAUGAAAGCACUCAUGGCCUACUGCAACUCAAGAUCUGCAGGUUCAUGCCAGCUCCUCAUCUGCCGCCGUUGCUUUUGAUAUCUUCGACCUUGGCAUCUUCUCCAACAGCAGCAACAGGAACGCCAUGGCCGGUAGCAGCAGUGCUGGGAUGAACCCAAACGCUCAUCUCCUGAUUCCUGCUCAACUUGGCAAUGCUAGCGGAAGCAAUGAGCCAACCACACUGUUUGCAGGAAAUCUCAUGAGCAAUCAUCUCGACCCAAACAUGUCUUCCGUGUACAACCACUCCAUGAGCAAGGAAUCAAUACCACCGCACAUGUCGGCGACUGCACUUCUCCAGAAGGCUGCGCAAAUGGGCGCCACGUCCAGUCGUGGCACUGCAAGCUCCUUACUCAGAGGACUCGGCAGGUCAUUCGACGGUGUUAGAGAGAGUUCAGCAAGUCAGCAAGAGGACGAGACCCAAUUCCAAGGCCUUAUGAGUUCCCUCGCUACUGGAAACAGUACUGGUUCAUUCGGUGGUGGUGGAAACGAGAGCAAGUUGCAGGGAUACCCAUCAGCCACUGGCCGGGGAGCAUCCGAUAGGUUAACCAGAGACUUCCUUGGGGUUGGCAGCAUGAUGAGGAACAUGGGGAGAGGGAUAGCACGAAGAGAACAGCAUUCCGGCAUGGACAUCGACGAACUGGAUUCAGAGAUGAAGUCUGGAUCCUCUACUCCAUCUUUUGUCGGUGGGAAUCUGCAAUAGAGAUUUAGGGACUCAGGAAGCUGUCUUUGAUACUCUCUGUACUGUGUCACUGUUAAUCUUGGUCGGUAGGAUAGGAUCCAGAUAACUUCAUCUUUCAGGUUCCAAUAACUUGCAUUUGCCUCUCAGAACAAACAAGUCUUCUUCUUUCACGGAGUUACUGGAAGCUUAACUUGAUGCA